AACGAACGCUGGCGGCGUGCCUAACACAUGCAAGUCGAGCGAAGUGAGUACUACGGUACGAACUUAGCGGCGGACGGGUGAGUAACGCGUGGACAAUCUACCCUGUAGACUGGGAUAACACCUCGAAAGGGGUGCUAAUACCGGAUAAUGUCGAGAAGCGGCAUCGCUUUUCGAAGAAAGGAGAGAAUCCGCUAUAGGAGGAGUCCGCGUCCCAUUAGCUAGGUGGUGAGGGUAACGGCCCACCAAGGCGACGAUGGGUAGCCGGCCUGAGAGGGUGAACGGCCACACUGGAACUGAGACACGGUCCAGACUCCUACGGGAGGGAGCAGUGGGGAAUAUUGUGCAAUGGGGGAAACCCUGACACAGCAACGCCGCGUGAGCGAAGAAGGCCUUCGGGUUGUAAAGCUCAAUAGUAUGGGAAGAUAUUGACGGUACCAUACGAAAGCCCCGGCUAACUACGUGCCAGCCGCCGCAGUAAUAC
rnacentral:rRNA from 1 species